AUGACCACAUCAUAUUGAAGCACCAGUUCCCGUACGAUCAUUGAAGUUAAGCAACAUCUGUACUCAGAUGGGUGACCGCUUCAGAAUACCAGGUGCAGUAU